GCCCCUGUAGUUUAACGGAAAAAACAGAGGCCUCCGGAGCCUCAAAUGCAGGUUCAAUUCCUGCCAGGGGCA
rnacentral:tRNA from 1 species